GAGCAGAGUGACAUGAACGCCUGCAUUAAAUCCCUUUUAUACACAGACCGUGACCUUACAGUGACUCCCAUCAUGGAUAACCCAAAGUUCCCUGUGCUGGUUCAACAGAUUUGACAUGCUCCGAACUGGGAUAUAAGGGGCGAAGUGAUGCGAGUGAUUGGACUGAUGUCCUCCCACUGCACAGAGCUCAGAGACCACAUUCCAGUCAUGGAGGCAAUGGCCAUGUUCACAGAACUGAUCCGAGAGAUUUUCAAAAGCAGUAAAUUGAAACAAUUCUUGAUUCUGCCCCUGGGGAAGCUGCUCUACCUCAUUGCUACACAGGAAGAGAAGAAAGAGCGCCCAGGAGGAUUGUGGGUCGUUCCUGCUGCCGCCUACACCGUGUUAAUGAGGUGCCUUCGGGAAGGGGAGGAGUUGGUGGUGAACCACAUGGCUGCCAAAACCAUAGAGAACGUGUGCAGCCGUGAGUCUCAAUACACCCAGGGAUUCAUCACCGCAGAAGUGGGACCUGCUCUCUGGUAUUGGUUUACACACUCAACAGUGGGUGCACUAAGGAUCAUCGCUGUAUCUGACUUUGUUAUGAAGAUAAUCCGCUCUCUGGAGAGUCCAUAUUCAGUCAUCCAUGCCAAGGCCGUCCUCGUUCUUCUGCAGGUCCUUAUGAACAACAGAGAGAUGCUUUUGCUCUGCUGUAACUCCAGGCUGGUGAUGUACAUUGAAAGAGACGUCCGAAAGGCCACGCCAGGAAAGGAGCAACAAAGCGGCAAUGAAUACCUGUCAAAAUGCCUGACCCUCUUCAUCCGUCACACUGUGCACGAACUGCCAGCCAUCCUGGAUGACAUCCUGUCCGUGUUAGGCAGCAUUGUGGGAAGGAAGCACCCCUCUCCUACGCAGUCCCGUCAGCUGAAGCAGAGCCUCCCUAUGAUGGCUGUUGUGCUGCAUCUGCUCACCUCACAGAUCUUCCGACCGCAGGUGGUGACUGAGGCCUUUCUCAUCAAAUUUGGAAAACUGCUGGUUGUGGAUUUGAUUGUACCACUGCUGGCGUCUCUGGCCUUCAGUAAGAAUGUGGAAUGGCGUGUUGUGAGUUUGCGUGUGCUGUCAGAGAUCACGCUGCUGCUGCUGCUGAGCCAAGACGAGGUGGAGGAGAGUGAGAGAGACGGAGGGAGAGAACGAGAGGCAGAGUGGGAAGGUGAAGGCAUCUCAUCCAACACUCGCUUGCUGACGCUCAUCUCUGAGGCCCUGCUGCCACAGUAUGAGACUCUGCUUCUGGAGUCAGAUCCUGUACCGGUGUAUGCUCUCAAACUGCUGGUGUCCCUCACUGAGCACAGCUCACCCAUCAGCAGGCUUGUUAGAGAGAGCAGUCUCCUGCCUGCUAUCUUUCAAGUAAUAGAGGAGCACAAGAAUAACACAGUCGGCAGCAUGAUGCAGAAUGCCAUGGCUCUCCUCUGCAAUCUGACUGGACAGAAGGGCACAGACCUCAGACCAUUCGACCAGCAAGGUAUGAUUGCGGUGGUGUGUAAUGUCUUUGUGGAAGUCUCUGGUGUGAGACUGGAGAGAGAAAUGCUUUCAGGGCUGAAGAGCUGCUCUUUUCUGCUCCUCUGUCUGCUGGACAUCAUCCACUGCCUGCUCAAAAACCUUUCGUCUGUAGUCCGACUGGCCCUGCAGAGAUCAGACAGUAAUGAAGACACUGAGGCUGCAGAGGAACUACUGCUCAUCAAUAAGCCACUGACAAACCUAAACAACCUCCUCAUUCAGCUGCUGGCGUGUAAUGACAGUGAGGUGUAUGAGGAGGCCAGUCACUGUGUGUCUCUGCUGGCUCAGCUGUACGGAGGAGAGGGUGCGGACCGCCUGCAGCCGAAGGAGCUGCUCAGCCUGGCACACACACUGCAGACGCACACUGAACCCAGGCUGCUCCGUGUGCUAAAACGCUUGAUGAGUGCGGUUGGCAGCUCCUGUUGGGGUUCUUCACGUGCUGCAGAAACUGGCGCUGCCUACUAGAUUCGUACCUAAGGAUUCUGCAUACUAAGUCCAAUUCUGUGCUGGCUGUGCUACCAGGCAAGCUUGUGAUGUCCGAAAGCAAAACACGGAGCUGUAAUCAUAACAGCGUCUCAAUCCGACGUGGCAGUGGAAUCACUAGCUGCAGAGAUUCUGAAGGGCUUCGGGUUCCAGGCUGAACUCGGAGCCACAGAACAGAGUUUCACACCUGGUAUUUAAUAUGUAUGUGUAUAUGUAUGUUUGUGUGAGUACUCAUUUUGUAUCUGUUACUGUGAUUUAUAAGUUGCAUUUUGCAAGACUAUUGAACUCUUGUGACAGUAAAACGUACUCCAGAAUGAUUGCUCUACUUAAGCGAAUUUAAAAUCACAUUUGGUGUAUUCCAUGAAGAAAAAUGUCCACAAUUAUAUAAAUUUAAAGUCCAUUUUAUUGUUUAGCCAGGUCAUUACCAAGUCUCAAACCAACAAUCGCAGGCUACAAUAAUUAGGGGUUCAUUU